rnacentral:rRNA from 1 species
UACGGGGGGAGCAAGCGUUGUUCGGAUUUACUGGGCGUAAAGGGCGGGUAGGCGGCCACCGCAAGUCGACUGUGAAAUCUCCGGGCUUAACCCGGAAAGGUCAGCCGAUACUGCGGGGCUAGAGUGCAGAAGGGGCAACUGGAAUUCUCGGUGUAGCGGUGAAAUGCGUAGAUAUCGAGAGGAACACCUGCGGCGAAGGCGGGUUGCUGGGCCGACACUGACGCUGAUGCGCGAAAGCCAGGGGAGCGAACGGG